rnacentral:rRNA from 1 species
UAGGGAAUAUUGCACAAUGGGCGAAAGCCUGAUGCAGCAACGCCGCGUGUGUGAUGAAGGCCUUCGGGUCGUAAAGCACUUUUCUGGGAGAUGAGAAAGGACAGUAUCCCAGGAAUAAGUCUCGGCUAACUACGUGCCAGCAGCCGCGGUAAAACGUAGGAGGCGAGCGUUAUCCGGAUUCACUGGGCGUAAAGCGCGUGCAGGUGGCGCGGUAAGUUGGGCGUGAAAGCUCCCGGCUCAACUGGGAGAGGUCGUCCAAUACUACCGUGCUUGAGAGCAGAAGAGGAAGAUGGAAUUCCCGGUGUAGUGGUGAAAUGCGUAGAUAUCGGGAGGAACGCCAGUGGCGAAGGCGAUCUUCUGGUCUGUUUCUGACACUCAGACGCGACAGCUAGGGUAGUAAACGGGAUUAGAGACCCCGGUAAUCCUAGCCGUAAACGAUGUGAACUUGGCGUUGGUGGGUUAAACUCCAUCAGUGCCGCAGCAAACGCG